rnacentral:lncRNA from 1 species
CCCAGCCCCGCGGGCCGCGAACAAUGCGGCUGCCUGGCUGCCGGCUGCCGGCUGCCGAGACCUUCGCCCGCCCGGGAGGGAGGCCGCCACUCACCACCCAGAGUUAUCAGAAUGUGGAAGAUCCAGAAGACUGAAGAUGCUGAUAUGUAAAGAAAUAUAAAUGGGAUUAACAAACAGGAUUGUGUGAAGAGGGACAGAAAAAGAGAAAUUAUGGAACCAAGUGACACAAUUGAGGAAGAGGAGGAGAAACAAAGAGAAAACAAAAGCAUCCAACAGUGUGAAACUAAGUAGCAAAAGAAACACAUUCUGGCCAUGAAAUAUCAAUCAUAGUCUUGCCAAUGUUUUCAGGUCACUGAGGAGAAAAUCCCUAUUCUUUUGACUAUACCAGUGUCUCACUGAUAUAUUAC